CUUUUAAUCUUGUCCCAGAGGUGCCGAAAUUCAUCGAAGUUUAUCUUCCCUGAGCCAUCGGUCUGUGGUGCAAAUGUUCAGGCCUUUUCCAGGAGAGCGCUCCAGAACUCGUUGCGCUGGGAGGACUUGGUGAAGACCAGCUGGUUGUUGUAGGUGGGCAGGCAGUCAUCGAUGACGACGUCCACCCAAUCUCCGUAGCGCCAGAACUGCGUGAGGACAAACACAAAAACCUCCUGGGAUCCUCCUGCUGGCCUCCUCUGUGUCUUGGGUGGUCACAGCUCUUCCUCCAGAGACAGGUGGUGCUCAAAGUCAUCGCAACACCUCCCCUGUCCCCUUGCAAAGCAGCGUGCAGUGUGGCUGCAAAUAGUCACGGCAGCUUCUGUGUAGAUGGAGAGACUCACCUGGAAGUGAAAGAUGCCGGCGUAGUUGUGUAUAAAGGACUGGUCAUGAGGGAUGACUCUGCAGAGGAGUUUUUUAUUCAGCGUCAGGCAAGCAAUGGCUGCCAGGAACCAGCAGUCACCUGCGGACGAGCAGAAGAGGCAGGUGAAACGAGGGGGCAAAGGAUUCCAAAAAUCCUCUGGAGAGCAAGAGGAAGAGCUAGCUAAUGAUGCACAUUUGAGAUAAAUAAGAUGUAGCUAGAAGUGAGACUUCAUACCUAGUUCUCCUUGGCAGAUAUCUGUUCUGUUGGCUCCACCAAUAAUAAAUCGAGGAUUCUCACAGAUCUCCUGCAAACAGAAACAGAUGAACAGGAAAAAUGUGCAUCGUGAGGCUCGUUCAUCCCAGGAAAAGAAAAAGCUUUAUUAUGUUUUCCUGUGUUCCCUGAGCUUCUACCGAGUUCUCUUAAUGUGUCAGGUGGGGAGAAGUAAAAACAACCACCUUUACUGGCAAACCUCAUCCAUGCUUGGAGGCCAGGCUCCAAAUCCCCUCCUUUCUCUGUCCCUCAUGGAAGA